GAACACCGGACGUGCGACCGUGCUGGUCGCGUUCAGCAACAAGCUGCUUUCGUCCCCCGAGACCAGCGGGCUUCUCCCCAGCGGCCAGGAUGUAAGGUAGCCCUGAUAGAGGAAAGCCAACUGCUACAUCUUGAGAACAUGCAAGCAGCCUAUGGAAAGGUCCACUUGGCAAGGAACUGAGGCUUGCAAGCAAACAUGCAAAACUCCAAACCGCUAGGGCCAGAGGAUUUCCGAUUUGAGGCAGGAUUGCCGUUCCCCGGACCGACAUUUGGAUCUCAGUUGCCAGGACACUAAGCAUGUCCAAAGUUGGAGAGUGAGUUGGAGAUGCCAAGACUCCCCCUCUGGGCUUGCACUGCAUCUGGGGCCUUCGAGAGGUUCCGAGUACCACCAUGCCA